GGCGACAUGAGGACAGCAUAGGAAAAUGGCCGAAGCACCAUGGCGCACACUUUGAUACUGGUAGUGAUUUUCCUGUCAUUAUGUGUGGAUUUUACCUAUUCUGGAAGAGGGUGUUCGCCAGGUAACUUCGGGUGGAAAUGUAAGUUCCAGUGUGCGUGUCGUCGAGGGCCAUGUGACAAGAACACCGGGUGGUGCGAGUCCGGGUGUCAGGAGGGGAAAUAUGGUGUCGGCUGUCAGCUCUUGAACGAGUGCUUGUACGACAGCCAAGGUGUGAACUACACUGGGACACUGGGUGUCGGUAAUGAAGGAAAGAAGUGCAUCAGCUGGUCAGAUCCUUUUGUGCAAGGGGAAGGAUAUACACUCGACAAAUUUCCCCCUGGUGACAAUCCCAAGAACUACUGUCGUAAUCCUAAAAACAACUACGGAAAAUAUGGAGUCAAGCCAUGGUGUUUCUUCUCCACUCUCCUGAAGAAGAAUUUCGUGACAUGUGGGGAGCUGAAGCCAUGUUCAUGUCCAGAUGGUCUGUUUGGGGCUGGCUGCCAAUCUGUUUGUCACUGUCGGACUGUAGAUGAGGUGUGUAACAAGUUGUUCGGAAGCUGCACCUCGGGCUGCGCAGCGGGAUGGACUGGUCUCAACUGUCAGAGAACGUGUCCGGAGGGCAAGUACGGCCAGGACUGUGCUCAGACAUGUGGCCACUGUUACCAGAAGUCGUGUGACCCAGAGUAUGGGGAGUGUCAGAAAAACUGUGAGGAAGGGUACAGUGGACUGUACUGUACAGACAAAUGUCCCAAUUCACGCUACGGACGCAACUGUGAAGGAGAGUGUGGCAAAUGUAAAGAUGGAGAGCCCUGUAAUAAGAACACUGGAUUCUGUUUUCGAGGCUGCAGUAAUGGAUACAAAGGAUACAAGUGUGAUGAAAAAUGUCCCCCGGGACUGUAUGGCAAGAGCUGUAAGCUGAACUGUGGCUACUGCAAGUUUGGCAGCACGUGUGAUCACGUGACAGGCACAUGUCUCAGUGGAUGUCAAGCUGGAAAAAUGGGAGACAACUGUACCACUGACUGUGAAGAUGGACAUUAUGGAGAAAACUGUUCUUUUGCUUGUGGAAGCUGCAAAUUUGGCAAACCAUGUCUUGCAAAAACAGGCCAGUGCAUGGACGGGUGUAGUGAUGGGUUCCUGGGAUACCAGUGUGCUGAAGCUGUCGAAGCACUAGAGGAAGGGAAGAUAACUGGUGGGAUCGUCGCAGCUGUCGUCAUCGUCAUCAUUGUCAUCAUCCUCAUCCUGGCAUUUGUGCUCUACAGGAAGCGGCGCCAUAAGCGUAUGGAUGUGAGCAAUCCUCUGCCCUUGGACCCGCGGGAGGCGGAGAACAAUGGCCACAGCGAGAGUGCUCGCUUGUUGAGUGACUCGCGGGUUGGAGACGUGACACGACUGGAUCAGGAUGAAAAUGGCGGAAGCGAAGAGAUCAAUGAGCCGAUAUACGUGAACAUCAACAGUAAGAAGCAGACAAGCCCUGUCAAACUGGUGGACCUUGCCGAUUACAUCAAGAAGCACAGGGAGAAUAACUGUCUGGGAUUUAAACAGGAAUUUGAGGAGCUGCCCAUGGGUCUGCUGGCUCUGUGUGAGGUGGCCAGGCGAGCUGACAACAAGGCCAAGAAUAGAUACGGAAACAUUGUUGCUUAUGACCAUUCCAGGGUUACUUUAGACCCCAUGACCAGUGAAGCCAACUCGGAUUACGUCAAUGCGAACUUCAUGGAUGGCUACAGCAAACAGCAUCAAUACAUUGCAUCCCAAGGACCAAACAAGGCCAUGAUCCGAGACUUCUGGCGGAUGGUGUGGCAGCAGAGAGUAUGUAAGGUGGUCAUGCUGACCAACCUAGUGGAGGCUUGUAAGAAAAAAUGUGAGCAGUAUUGGCCGGAGGAGGGAGGCAUCAAGUACGGGGAGGUGACGGUCAGGAUAGUGGACACGGCCAAGUAUACAGACUACACCAUCAGAACAUUCGAAAUAUCACAGCUUGAGAUAUCCCGGAUAGUCAAGCAGUUCCACUUCACGACGUGGUCAGACCAUGGUGCACCCACCUACCCCACGACCCUCCUCGCCUUCCGACGCAAGGUGCAGAUGUACAACCCCGAGUCCUCCGCUCCCAUCCUCUGUCACUGCAGUGCUGGGAUCGGCCGUACUGGGACGUACAUAGCUCUUGACUACCUGCUGGAGCAGGCCCAGAAAGAGGACCAGGUGGACGUCCUGUGUAUCGCCCAGCUGAUGAGGACCAACCGUGUCAACAUGAUUCAAACAUGGGAACAAUAUGCCUUUGUUUACGACGCUGUUCUUGAGGCUGUCAAAUCAGGGGAGACAACUAUAGCCAAGUCUGCAUUCCGAUCUACCUACCAAAAUAUGCUGAGCGCAGCCAACGAGGGGGACCCCAACAAACUUGAGGAACAGUACCAGGUGCUACAGACACUGUCUCCCACAGUGGAAAGAAGUGAGUGCUCUGCUGCCUUUGCCGAGGAUAACAUGAACAAGAACCGAUUCAAGAACAUCUUGCCAGCCAAUCGGUGUCGCCCUUUCCUGUACACGCCUGUUGACAACUGUACUGACUACAUCAAUGCUGUGUUCCUCCCUGGGUGUACGCAGAAGGACCGGUUCAUUGUCACUCAGAUGCCGCUUCCCAACACUGUAGCCGACUUCUGGCGCAUGUUGUACGACUAUACCUCCGAUACCAUCAUCAUGCUCAAUGAGUUUGAUAGGAACGACAAGUCGUGUGCCUUGUACUGGCCGGAGGAGUAUGGCUACACAGAAGAGUACGGCCCUCUCAAUGUGGAGCUGCUGUCGUCAUCUGAAGCUGACCCUGACGUCACCAUCCGCAUCUUUAAACUCAGCCAUCUUGUCAAGGGUGAGGAGAGAGCAGUGAAACAGUUCAUGUUCAAAUCAUGGCCGGACUACCAGACAGUGCCCAACUCACGGACAGCUCUACUCAGGCUGCACAAACUCACCACAGACUGGCUCAAGCAGAACGGCAAGGGCCCAGUCACAAUACACUGCAUGAAUGGUGCCAGCAAGAGCGGGAUGUUUGCUGCCAUAAGUCUGGUGCUGGAGAGACUGAGUCUAGACCAGGAGUUGGACGUCUACCAGACCGUCAAACAGAUCCGCAUCAACAGACCACAGUUCAUUGAGAACUAUGAACAAUACCAGUUCUGCUACCAGCUCAUCAUGGAAUAUCUUGACAGCCAAGAGUAGCCAUAGCAACCGUUGAUCAACCAUAGCAACAUUCCACGGUUACAAAGACCACCAUCCCAGCAUUCCAUAGCUCAAAGCAAAUGCUUGUGAUGUUUUAGUAUCACAAAUUGUCAUUUUCAAUUUUACAAACCAUGAAAGCUUUAGUCAGUGUUAUGUAAUGGAUAUAUUACUUUUGCUCAGAUUUCUAUAUAUGUUGUACACCACUAGGAUAUUUUAACAAGUUGUUUAUGGAUUGCGUUUUCCGAUAUCAACUAAGAGAGUUAAGAUAUUUUUAAUUAUGUUGACUUUUAACGAUUGUUGAAUUCAUUUGCAUCUUCUGAAAGGUUGUUACGUAAUUUACUCAUGUCAAAUUUGUUUAUUUGUCCAAAGUUAAUUUGCAGAUGUUUGAAGAAUAGUGUGUUCAGAGACAACAGGUAGUAUGUUUCCCAGAUUAUGCAUUCACUGCUCAUAAUGUGUCAUACAAUUUAUUAACUGGUCGAAGUAUUACAUGUGUGUCUGGGGCUGCCGUCAGCUGGGGCUAUAUAACACAUUUUGUAUGAUCAUACUGAGGUUGCGAUACAAUACAUGGUCUGACAUACAGUGGAACCCUUCUAGUCUGCAACCCUGUGACUGUGGACCCUGUUAGAGUGGAUCCUGGGAGUCUAGAUCCUGUUAUUCUGGGAUACAGUCCUACUGAUUAGAGCCAGGCUUAAGGUCCUACUGAUGGGGUCCUGGGAUAAGGUCCUACUGGAUGGGUCCAGGCAUGAGGUCCUACUGAUGGGGUUCUGGGACACGGACCUACUGAUGGGGUUCUGGGACAUGGUCCUACUGAUGGGGUCCUGGGAUACAGUCCUACUGAUGGGGUCCUGGGACACGGUCCUACUGAUGGGGUCCUGGGACACAGUCCUACUGAUUGGAUCCAGGCUUCAGGUCCUACUGAUGGGGUCCUGGGACACGGUCCUACUGAUGGGGUCCUGGGAUACAGUCCUACUGAUGGAUCCAGGCUUCAGGUCCUACUGAUGGGGUCCUGGGACACGGUCCUACUGAUGGGGUCCUGGUACACAGUCCUACUGAUUGGAUCCAGGCUUCAGGUCCUACUGAUGGGGUCCUGGGACACGGUCCUACUGAUGGGGUCCUGGGACACAGUCCUACUGACUGGAUUCAGGCUUAAGGUCCUACUGAUGGGGACCUGGGACACGGUCCUACUGAUGGGGUCCUGGGACACAGUCCUACUGAUUGGAUCCAGUCUUAAGGUCCUACUGAAAGGGUCCUGGGACACAGUCCUUACUGACUGGAUCCAGGCUUAAGGUCCUACUGAUUGGAUCCAGUCUUAAGGUCCUACUGAUGGGGUCCUGGGACACGGUUCUAGUGAAGGGGUCCGGUCAUAAGUUCCUACUGAUGGAAUCCGGGGCUAUAGGCGAUGGUGGAUAGAUUCAAUGUUGGCAUCCCUAUGCAAUGGAAUUGUCAUCAAUACAUCAUCUAACAACCUGUUCAUACAUCCAUCAACUCAUACGUAUCCAUUAUUGUCAUAUGUACAUACACACAACUCAUGGUAUCAUAGCCAGUUUUUCAAAUAUUGGUAAUCAAAACGUAACACUAGAUCAGCAGAGUGUAUUUAUCUCACUAUUUACGGUAUAUAUGAAGCUGUCCGCAUCCACCAGUAGAGGGCGCAUGAGGGUGUGUCUGAGUAAUUCACUUCACCAGCACCAGGUGAGUCACUGAAUUAAGUUCAUAAUAUCCUUGUAUGCAGAAAGCUAUUACCGUAUUUUCCAUUGCGAAAGGGUAUGUAUAGAUGCAUCAGAUACAUAUGUUCCCGCACACAAUACUAUUGAUUUAUGCAGUAGGGACACAGACAAGCAUUUACAUCUUCCGAGGCAAGAGAGUUAACUGACUUUAAAAGUCCAGUUUCCACCCUUGCCGAACUAGGCUGGUAUUAUGGAGUUACAUUUUGGCUGGACUAAUGAGUCUAUGCAUAGUCCAAUCAAAAUUGGCAACGAAAAUCGAAAUUUGGUUCAUAAAUUGUCAUGCAGAUUCUGGUCAAUUGCAGGAUUUGCAAAGCAUGUGCACCACCAACUUGUUGUCAACAGAUAUUUUCUAAAUCUUUAUAUGUUUUUAAUCAGGGUGCUCGCAUGAUGUGAUGCACUUAGGGAUGUAAGAUGUUUUAUCACAAUAUAGAUCUUGAUUAUCGAUCAGAUCGUCUAGAUUGGGCGUCGUCAUUUUGUUUGAACCAAAUGCAAGUGAUAUGAGAGGUGGAAUCUGAUUGGUCCAUAGGAGAGGCAUGGA
rnacentral:misc_RNA from 1 species